AAAGACUGUUCAAAGCAAAUUAUUUGCAACAGACUGUAGAAUGGCUGCCUGUGAAGCACUUUCUGAUCGGAAAGGGAAUUUGCUGCCACCUCCUGGGCCUUUAGAAUAAAGCCGUGAAGAUCAGCAGCACUUCAGGGCCUGUACCCUUCAGACAACAUCAAGAGCGUUGGAGAGCAGGUGUUGUUUACAAGUCUGGCUGUCCCAGACUGAAUGAACUGGAAACUAUUUAUGGGUUUUAAAGAAUAAAGUUGACUUCAGUGUUUUGCUGCUUUGCUCUCAAUUUCAGUAAUACCACCCGAAGUGAAUUGUGACAUUUUUAUGGAUAUUUCAUAAUGUUGUAGAAUUUAAAA
rnacentral:lncRNA from 1 species